GGAGAAGCAGACUCCCUGUGCAGAGUCAAUCCUGGGACCCCGGGAUCACGACCUGAGCCGGAGGCAGAUGCUCAGCCACUGAGCCCCCCAGGCACCCGAAAGCAGAGUUUAUUGAAGGUGUGCGGAGACAGCAGGGAUAGAGUGUCUGGACACUCAGAAAGGACAGGAAAGAGCCUCAUUUUUGUUCAGGGUCUGGGGGCUUUUGUUGAGGAUGGUGGCCUGGUGUCCAUGUCCGGUUAGAACAAAAAGGAAGGUCUUUGGAGCCCGGGGGCUUUGGCAUCAAGAUGUCCAGCGCCGGUGACCUCGAUGUGCACAUGAUGGCUUUGUCCGGUCAUUCUCACCUGGUCCUUCCUUAGGUGCUACCUGUUCUAGAGAAAUCACCAGCUCCUUGUCCCUCAUACGGAGGACGUGCGCUAUUGGCGUUCAGGGGCAUGUGUCAAGUGGGGCUGUGGGCCCUAGCAAGAAAAGAAGCAGGAAAAGGAGCAAAAAAGGAAGGAGGGGGCACAGUUCACGUCUGGGGGAGAAUAAAUCUCUAUCCUGAGACUUUUCUUUUACGGAGCUGGCAGGCCAAGAGCCAAGCUGCGAGUUCCAAGUCCAAAGAGAAAUAACACCUUCAGAGUUUCUCCUGGGGCUCUGGGCUGCUAAGGGGCAGUGCCAUUGUCUUCCAUUACCACUCACUCCCCCAAAACUUCCAGCAAAUCGGAUACCCACACGUUUUUUGUCCCCGGGGAGCCAAGGAGGAGGAACUAAGGUAAAGGAGCCACCAGGUCCCACAUUUGGGCUGGCACGAGGCAGGGAGGAGGGAGGGACCACCUGAGAGGACACUUGGGCGAGAUAGAGACUUUCAAGCUGGGGGACUCAGAGCGAGAGGAAGCACCUGCCUGUGCCUGGAACCGCUUGAUUUGAAUACGAAAGGACAGGCAGAUCCAUAAAGCCGGCACACUGGGCAGCAUCAUUCAUCCAGCCGUUGCACACCUAGUACACGCCUGGUGCGCGCUGCUGGGUACGCCGGAGUGCAAGGUGAGCAAAACAGCGGUGGCAGGUGUCCAGGCAGGUAACCAGGGCGACACAUGCACAGCUUAGCACAGUCCCGUUCCCCUGAAAGCCCCACCAGUUUGUCUUUUUUUUUUUUUUUCAGAGGCCGGGAGCCCAUCCUGGGAGGAGGGGUGGCCUUGGGGUCAUGUUAAUUCCACUGGACAAAUGUGAUGACAGACCAGGCACUUGGGGGUCACGGGCUCCAUGCUAAUUGCAUCUGUGUCUCUCCAGCCGGGGGUAUCGGCUGUGAUGCAAUUAACGCUGGGAGCUGGCUUGGAGCUGUCACUUUUCCAGCUGGCCGGCCUCGGCCCACUCACGAGGACAGCGUGACUCUGGACUUUGCACAUUU